UUUAAUGGCCGCGGUACUUUGACCGUGCUAAGGUAGCAUAAUCAAUUGACUUUUAAAUGAAGUCUGGAAUGAAAGGGGAAACGGAAUUUAGCUNUCUAAACUUUUUUAAUUUGAAUUUACUAACUAGGUGAAAAGGCCUAGAGAAGAUAAAAGACGAGAAGACCCUAAGAGUUUAAAACUAUUUUGUUGGGGCGACAGAAGGUCAGCAUAACACCUUUGUUUUAAUAAGACGGAUUUAUCAUGCACAGAUAAACUACCUUAGGGAUAACAGCAUAAUCCUUUUGGGUUUGUGACCUCGAUGUUGGACUAGGAAGCCUUUAGGCUAGCUGCUUAAAAGGGGGAUUCUGUUCGAAUUUUUACUCCUACGUGAUCU
rnacentral:rRNA from 1 species